UAGUCAUACGCUUGUCUCAAGGAUUAAGCCAUGCAUGUCUAAGUAUAAAGGUACAUACAAUGAAACUGCGAAUGGCUCAUUCAAACAGUUAUAGUUUAUUUGAUAUUCAAACUAAUGAAAGUUAGUUUAAAUGGAUAACCGUAGUAAUUCUAGAGCUAAUACAUGCGUUACGGGGGACUUUACGGAACCCCAGUAUUUAUUAGAUUCAAACCAAUAUUCCGCAAGGUCUACUGAGAUGAUUCAUGAUAACUGAUCGAAUUGCUGGGUCUACUAGCAAUAAAUCAUUCAUGUUUCUGCUUCCCAUCAGCUUGAUGGUAGUGUAUUGGACAACCAUGGCAUUCACGGGCUAUCGGGGGAUUAGGGUUCGAUUCCGGAGAGGGAGCCUGAUAAACGGCUACCACUUCUACGGAAGGCAGCAGGCGCGAAAAUUAUCCAAUCCUGACUCAGGGAGGUAGUGAAAGAAAUAAUGAACUAGGAUUUAUCCUGGGAUCACAAUGGGCUUGAUUUGCAAACUUUACAUUUAGCGAGGAACGAUUGGAGGGCAAGUCUGGUGCCAGCAGCCGCGGUAAUUCCAGCUCCAAUAGUGUAUAUUAAUGUUCCUGCAGUUAUUCGAUGCUCGUAGUUGGAUUUCUGAAGUUGAGAUGGGAGGGUGGCUAUGGCCAUCGCUCGUCUCUUCCUUCAUCCACCUGUUAGCGAAUCCCGGGAUUCACUUCUCGGUUUCGGGCUCAGGUACUUUACCAUUUUUAUAUACCUAUAUUUAUAUCCUGUAGUCUUUAUCGAUUAUGUGUUAUUUCUUCUUUGAGCAAAUUAUAGUGUUUCAGGCAGGCGUGCGCCGGAAUACAUUAGCAUGGUAUAAUCGAAUUGGACCGUGUAUCCAUUAUUUGGAUUCCUCCUUAUUUGUUGGUUUAAAGGACACGGAAAUGGUUAAUAGGGAUAGUAUUUAAUCCAGGGGAGGCAUUAGUAUUUAAUUUCCAGAGGUGAAAUUCUUUGAAAUAUUAAAGACUAACUUAUGCGAAAGCAUUUAUUUUGCCAAUAAUGUUUUCAUUAAUCAUU
rnacentral:rRNA from 1 species